CGCUUAAGCGGCUGAGGGGAAAAGGAAAGGGCCUGAGGUUGUGAGGAAUGGCGGGAGUUGAAGUCCAAAACACCUCGAGGGCCCAAGUUUGCCCAAGCCUGUCCUAAAAGUUUGUAUCUGAAAAGUCUCUUUUCAAAGACCCCAGUCUUCGGACAGACCUUUUUCGUCUUCAGAAAACCUUCCGCUUCAAAACAAAACAAAAACUCCUCAAGGCAACGACUUCACCCGUCCGAAUCACCAAAUCUAUCGCCUCACAGGAAGGAAGCGGCCACAAAAGGAAGGAGAUUAUCCAACCACUUGUAACAAGAAGAACUUCCCAAAAUGCCCAUGUAUGUGAAUGAUGGAGAGCCAGCAUAGUGUAACCUUUUCAGCAUCAGAUUACAACUGGAGACCAGGGUUCAAAUCUCUGCUCCAUCAUGGAAAGCAACCAGGUGUUUGUGGUCUCCUGGAGAUACCUCCCUCUCUGCCUUCUUUCUUCCAGAAUGGAAAUAUCCCAGAAAACCUAAGCUGUAAAGUUGUUGGAGAGCUGUACCACAACUUCAGUGAUCCACACUGUGUCUGUGCUGCAACUUUAUCCCAUGCAAACAUGUGAGCCAUACUGCACUGCACAACAUAAAGAGGAGAGAUACAUUUCUAUGUGUGAUAGUUAUAUUAAAAUA
rnacentral:lncRNA from 11 species